AGUGUUCUGGGAUAGAUAGGCGAUCUCCUUGCAAUCCACCUUUCCAUCCUGGGCAUUGG
ensembl:miRNA mdo-mir-1545b-1 mdo-mir-1545b-1